UUCGAGCAAAUUUUAUAGAAAAAUCCAAAUUCUCAUCUUUUUUGCUAUAUCAUCCAAAAUCUCAUUUAUUCGUAAAGCGUGCCAAAACUAAUUCAUUAUUAUUUUUUGUAAUUACUUGGAAAACAGACGUUUUGACAUGGAUGACAUACAUUUCAUAAAAGCCCAAGCGAAUACGUAUCACGAUGCUCAAAAGUGAACACAGCUGUUCACUUUUCCCCCUGGCAAUGGCAAUAACCCAAAAUGCGAUCAUAACCGGCAACACCCACAUCCCCAAAAAAUGGGAUAUGUACUCGUUUUUUCUCUCUGGCUGACAAGACAUUUUAAUGACGCCUUCAAGCCCAACAAGAUACAUUUUGAGGUGCUGUAGCAUCCAUCUAUGCCAUCACAAAGAUCUGUGUUGGGGUGUGGGGGGGGGGGUUACAUUGAGACAUGGGCUCCCCCUGGAGCGUUAUGGUCGACACAAACAAUUAGCAUAACGAAAAUUUCAAUACAAUAACGAACGUUCAAUUUGCGAUUUAAUAACAAAAUUUAACGAAUUUAUUAUUCUUCUGCAAUUCGUUACGCAUGUGAAGCAAUACAAUUGAGUAUUCCCCCCAAAGAAGAAAUUUACAAAACCAUAAUAAGAACGAAAAAAGAAUUAAGAAGGCGUUGUAGGUGGAGAUGGCAAUGGCGAUGGAGUGAAUAAAAACUGUGUCAAGUUUCAA
rnacentral:sRNA from 1 species